rnacentral:rRNA from 1 species
UAUCUCUGUAGAGUCUGCAUAUCAAUAAGCGGAGGAAAAGAAACUAACAAGGAUUCCCUUAGUAACGGCGAGUGAAGCGGGAAGAGCUCAAAUUUGAAAUCUUCAAGGUUCUACCUUGACGAAUUGUAGUUUAAAGAAGUGUUUUCUGUUAGAUGAGUAGCAAAAGUUCCUUGGAAUGGGACAUCAUAGAGGGUGAGAAUCCCGUAUUUGGUUAUUCAUUCUAGCUUUGUGAUACACUUUCAAAGAGUCGGAUUGUUUGGGAAUGCAGUCCAAAAUGGGUGGUAAAUUUCAUCUAAAGCUAAAUAUUGGCGAGAGACCGAUAGCGAACAAGUACCGUGAGGGAAAGAUGAAAAGAACUUUGAAAAGAGAGUUAAACAGUACGUGAAAUUGUCAAAAGGGAAGCGUUCGACACCAGUGUUGUUUUUCCGAAAAUCAAUUACGAAUGGCUUGAUUUUGUGUUGUAUUGACCUUAUCAGCUUUCUUCACUUUUUUCGAGUCUUUCUUAAUGCACUUUUCGGUUAACAAGUCAACAUCAAUUUCUUUUGUUGUAAAAGAGUAUUCGGAAGGUGGCUUUCUUUUCGGAGAAAGUGUUUAUAGCCCUAUACUUCUACAAUCGGAGAGAUUGAGGUCUGCAGCGUAGAUCCUUCGGGGUUAGAUACACUUGUGCUAAGUUGUAGCUUUUCAUAGACAACUUGUUGACUAUGUUUAGUCAUGCGGCUUACUCGCUUGUGCUAUUUUACCUACGCUUAGGAUGUUGAACUACUGAGACAUAGA